AUAGGGUAAGCUUAUCAACACUGGACCGUGUCUUGCGCAGAAAUAAUCUCAGGAUGAAGCAGGUCUACAGGGUGCCAUUUGAACGCAAUUCAGAAAGAGUCAAAGAAUUGCGAUAUAACUAUGUGCAAAGAGUCCUUGAGCUAGAGGUGGCUGCAGUGGAGCACCAGUUCAUCUUCAUUGAUGAGGUUGGAUUCAACCUCACAAAAA